GCUCGUGUAGCGCAGUGGAAUAGCGCGUCUCUUUCCUAAAGAGAAGGUCCUGGGUUCGAAUCCCAGCUCGAGUG